UACGUAGGGGGCUAGCGUUGUCCGGAUUUAUUGGGCGUAAAGAGCGUGUAGGCGGCCAGAUAGGUCCGUUGUGAAAACUGGAGGCUUAACCUCCAGCUGUCGAUGGAAACCAUCUGGCUAGAGUCCGGAAGAGGAGAGUGGAAUUCCUGGUGUAGCGGUGAAAUGCGCAGAUAUCAGGAAGAACACCCGUGGCGAAGGCGGCUCUCUGGGACGGUACUGACGCUGAGACGCGAAAGCCAGGGGAGCAAACGGG
rnacentral:rRNA from 1 species